AUAAGAUUGGUCCACACCUGUAGGGGGCAGAAUAGAAAAGAAAAGGUGGUCCCUGAAUUCAGGCUAGCAACCAAAAUCAAGGGCAAUAAGAAGUUCUUCUAUAGGUACUUAGGUAACAGGAUGAAAAUCAGUGGAAGCAUGGGACCACUGCUCAGUGCAUCUGGAUAUCUGACUGCCAACA